rnacentral:rRNA from 1 species
CCCUUAGAUGUCCUGGGCCGCACGCGCGCUACACUGAUGCAUUCAACGAGUUCUACCUUGGCCGAGAGGCCUGGGCAAUCUUUUGAACCUGCAUCGUGACGGGGAUAGAUUAUUGCAAUUAUUAAUCUUCAACGAGGAAUGCCUAGUAGGCGCAAGUCAUCAGCUUGCGUCGAUUACGUCCCUGCCCUUUGUACACACCGCCCGUCGCUCCUACCGAUUGGGUGUGCUGGUGAAAUGUUCGGAUCGGCCGUUUGUCGCGGUUUCCGCGGCUCGUGGCUGAGAAGUUCAUUAAACCCUCCCACCUAGAGGAAGGAGAAGUCGUAACA